ACUUUAUUAGUAUAUUAAGUACAAUUAACUUCCAAUUAAUAAGUUUUAUUAAAUAAAGUA
rnacentral:tRNA from 1 species